rnacentral:lncRNA from 1 species
CUACCCCAAACUAUAAUACAUAUAGUUUGGUUUGGUGUCAAUUUUUCCAACAAAAGACGUCUUGAAGUCUAAUUUUAGAGGUCAACGAAAACCUUCGUUGUCAGUUCUUCUUUUCUGCAGAUCUCAUUUCCAGUUGAAGAAGCCAACUUCCACGUGCUUCCAGAGGACAAUUUCUCGGUUUCCUUGGCCAAGAACCACUUGAAAAGGAAACUAGGAAGUAAGGUAAGCAUCCUAGAUGUACGUAUUUUCGAGUUUGAGCAUGUUUUGAUCAUGAAAAUCAAGAGGGAAACCAGCCCGGAAAACUGAUUUCUGA